rnacentral:tRNA from 1 species
UGGCUCAGUUGGUAGAGCAUGGUGUUUGCAACGCCAGGGUUGUAGGUUCGAUUCUCAC